AGGUUCUCCGUGCAGAGAUGUGCCCGCUGCCACCUUGGGAUCUCAGCCUCCGAAAUGGUCAUGAGAGCCAGGGAGUCGGUUUAUCACCUGAGCUGCUUCACCUGCACCACCUGCAACAAGACUCUGACCACAGGCGAUCACUUUGGCAUGAAGGACAACCUGGUUUACUGCAGGGCCCACUUCGAGUCCCUUUUGCAAGGAGAAUAUCCCCCUCAGCUGAGCUACACCGAGCUGGCUGCCAAGAGCGGAGGGCUGGCCCUGCCUUACUUCAACGGCACUGGCACAGUCCAGAAGGGGAGGCCCAGGAAACGAAAGAGCCCUGCCUUGGGAGUGGACAUCGUCAACUACAACUCAGGUGGGAAACACACGCCCAACCUUCCUCCCGCUCCUCUGAAAAGAGCGUUCUCGGGCUUCCCUCCAAGCUAG